GUGCGAGCGUUGUCCGGAAUUACUGGGCGUAAAGGGCUCGUAGGUGGUUUGUCGCGUCGUCUGUGAAAUUCCGGGGCUUAACUCCGGGCGUGCAGGCGAUACGGGCAUAACUUGAGUACUGUAGGGGUAACUGGAAUUCCUGGUGUAGCGGUGAAAUGCGCAGAUAUCAGGAGGAACACCGAUGGCGAAGGCAGGUUACUGGGCAGUUACUGACGCUGAGGAGCGAAAGCAUGGGUAGCGAACAGGAUUAGAUACCCUGGUAGUCCAUGCCGUAAACGGUGGGCGCUAGGUGUGAGGGUCUUUUCACGACUUUCGUGCCGUAGCUAACGCAUUAAGCGCCCCGCCUGGGGAGUACGGCCGCAAGGCUAAAACUCAAAGGAAUUGACGGGGGCCCGCACAAGCGGCGGAGCAUGUGGAUUAAUUCGAUGCAACGCGAAGAACCUUACCUGGGCUUGACAUACACCGGAUUGGGCUAGAGAUAGUCUUUCCCUUUGUGGCUGGUGUACAGGUGGUGCAUGGUUGUCGUCAGCUCGUGUCGUGAGAUGUUGGGUUAAGUCCCGCAACGAGCGCAACCCUUGUCUUAUGUUGCCAGCAUUUGGUUGGGGACUCAUGAGAGACUGCCGGGGUCAACUCGGAGGAAGGUGGGGAUGACGUCAAAUCAUCAUGCCCCUUAUGUCCAGGGCUUCACACAUGCUACAAUGGUCGGUACAACGCGCAGCGACACUGUGAGGUGGAGCGAAUCGCUGAAAGCCGGCCUUAGUUCGGAUUGGGGUCUGCAACUCGACCCCAUGAAGUCGGAGUCGCUAGUAAUCGCAGAUCAGCAAUGCUG
rnacentral:rRNA from 1 species